GGACUUUGUGUCGCGCGUAGAACGAUGCGCGAGCCUGCUUGUCAUACUGGCGCUGCGCUUCCCGGCGCUAUUAUUUUUCUUCGCCAGAUUUUAAAACGGUGCUUUAAAAUGUGUUUGUGUACGUAUGCGCAGUAGGUUUCUCUCAUCUAAUGUUCCGUUUCCGCUAUAGGUGCAACAAUUGGGCAGAUCUUUCCACAUCUCUGCGGUAGAUUGGGAGGACGCCGGACCUAGCGGAACGCAAGGGGCAAACUGAGCCACCGUCUAUAUUUUACAGCUUUUACACAUUUUGUUUUAUUUCUGUUGGCAAUAAAGAGUUAUUUGCCGUAAUAAUUUGACUGACUUUGUUUUAACGUUUCUAGUAGGCAGGGGGAUGCGGCUGGUGGCCGGCCGACGGCGCUCGCGACGCGACAGUAAUCGCACAAUCUGCACGGCUCGCGAUGCGUGCGAAAUAAGAGAAACCCUUAUGUCUGUCUACGUAAUGGUCCGGGCAUGGCAGUUCGAUGUGAGCGUGCAGACUUUCAGAUACUGUUCAUUCUUUACUGUUCGUGCUUUACUGUACCCCUCAGGGCGGUUCCAUACCUGGUGAAUCUAUAUAUUAGUUUUGUUCUGUAGCCAGGCCUAGGGAGGC
rnacentral:lncRNA from 1 species